CAGCAGCCGCGGGAAUACGUAGGUGGCAAGCGUUGUCCGGAAUUAUUGGGCGUAAAGGGCUCGCAGGCGGUUUCUUAAGUCUGAUGUGAAAGCCCCCGGCUCAACCGGGGAGGGUCAUUGGAAACUGGGAAACUUGAGUGCAGAAGAGGAGAGUGGAAUUCCACGUGUAGCGGUGAAAUGCGUAGAGAUGUGAAGGAACACCAGUGGCGAAGGUGACUCUCUGGUCUGUAACUGACGCUGAGGAGCGAAAGCGUGGGGAGCGAACAGGAUUAGAUACCCCGGUAGUCCCUGUCUCUUAUAC
rnacentral:rRNA from 1 species